UAAUUAAGCGGAGGAAAAGAAACUAACUAGGAUUCCCUCAGUAACGGCGAGUGAAGCGGGACUAGCUCAGGAUGUGAAUCUGCGCUUUUAUGGCGCCGAAUUGUGGUCUAUAGACUUUGACGUUAUCUGCCGGGCCAAGUUCCUUGGAAAAGGACAGCUGAGAGGGUGACACUCCCGUCCGCCUGGUAGAGUGAGUCUUUGUCAACGAGUCGAGUUGUUUGGGAUUGCAGCUCUAAUUUGGUGGUAAAUUCCAUCUAAAGCUAAAUAUUGGUGGGAGACCGAUAGCGUACAAGUACCGUGAGGGAAAGAUGCAAAGAACUUUGAAAAGAGAGUUAAAGAGUACCUGAAAUUGCUGAAACGGAAGCGAAGGAAACCAGUGUUUGUUGGUUCAUAUUUCCCUUGUCACUUGUGAUGCGGGCGCUGUGAGCUUGCGUGGGUUUGCUUUGGUUGAUUCCUUUGGAAGAGCGCAGUCAGAGUUGAUGUCUGUUGCUAGCACUGGUUUUGACUUAAGCAGACGAAAUGGUUUCCUCCGACCCG
rnacentral:rRNA from 1 species